GGCGGAGUAGCUCAGGUGGUUAGAGCAGCGGAAUCAUAAUCCGCGCGUCGGGGGUUCGAGUCCCCCCUCCGCUACCA
rnacentral:tRNA from 1 species